rnacentral:rRNA from 1 species
CAAGGAAUCUUCCGCAAUGGGCGAAAGCCUGACGGAGCAACGCCGCGUGUGGGAUGACGCCUUUCGGGGUGUAAACCACUUUUCUCAGGGAAGAAGCACUGACGGUACCUGAGGAAUAAGGACCGGCUAACUACGUGCCAGCAGCCGCGGUAAUACGUAGGGUCCGAGCGUUGUCCGGAGUUACUGGGCGUAAAGCGCGCGCAGGCGGCGGUGUAAGCAUGGCGUGAAAGCCCCAGGCUUAACCUGGGAGGGUCGUCGUGGACUGCACCGCUUGAGGGCGGUAGGGGCUGGUGGAAUGCCUGGUGUAGUGGUGAAAUGCGUAGAGAUCAGGCGGAACACCCGUGGCGAAGGCGGCCAGCUGGGCCGUCCCUGACGCUGAGGCGCGAAGGCGUGGGGAGCGAACGGG